CUACGGGAUGCUCCAGUGAGGAAUAUUGCACAAUGGGGGGAACCCUGAUGCAGCAACGCCGCGUGGAGGAUGACGCAUUUCGGUGUGUAAACUCCUUUUAUAUGUCAAGAAAAUGACGGUAGCAUAUGAAUAAGCACCGGCUAACUCCGUGCCAGCAGCCGCGGUAAUACGGAGGGUGCAAGCGUUACUCGGAAUCACUGGGCGUAAAGGACGCGUAGGCGGGUUGGAAAGUCAGGUGUGAAAUCCUACAGCUUAACUGUAGAACUGCACUUGAAACUUCUAAGCUAGAGUAUGGGAGGGGGAGAUGGAAUUAGUGGUGUAGGGGUAAGAUCCGUAGAUAUCACUAGGAAUACCUAAAGCGAAGGCGAUCUCCUGGAACAUUACUGACGCUAAGGCGUGAAAGCGUGGGGAGCAAACAGGAUUAGAUACCCGGGUAGUC
rnacentral:rRNA from 1 species